CAAUAGCGUAUAUUUAAGUUGUUGCAGUUAAAAAGCUCGCAGUCGGAUUUUGGCUGAGAACGAACGGUCCGCCGUUAGGUGUGCACUGUUUGGUCUCAGCUUCCUGGUGAGGAGGUGUGCUUCACGGCCACUUAGUCACCGUGGUUACUUUGAAAAAAUUAGAGUGUUCAAAGCGGGCUUACGCUUGAAUAUAUUAGCAUGGAAUAACACCAUAGGACUCCUGUCCUAUUUCGUUGGUCUCGGGACGGGAGUAAUGAUUAAGAGGAACAGUUGGGGGCAUUCGUAUUUCAUUGUCAGAGGUGAAAUUCUUGGAUUUAUGAAAGACGAACUUCUGCGAAAGCAUUUGCCAAGGAUGUUUUCAUUGA
rnacentral:rRNA from 1 species